CCGCGAAUGGCUCAUUAAAUCAGUUGCAUUCUACGGUGACUUGCAGUCGUGGAUAACUGUGGAAAACCUAGAGCUAAUACAUGCACAAAGUCCUAAGCUUCGGCAGGGACGCAUUUAUCAGAUCAAAGCCAACGCUUCCGGUUAAUAGCCGGUUUAUGAUGACUCUGGGUAAUUGUUUUGAUCGCAUUGCUACGUGACAGGCGACCGUGACUUCGAACGCCUGACCUAUCAACUUGUGUUGGCAGUUGAUGUUACUACCCGGGUUGUUACGGGUGACGGGAAAUCGGGGUUUUAUUCCGGAGAGAGAGCAUGAGAAAUGGCUGUCACAUCCAAGGAUGGCAGCAGGCGCGCAAAUUACCCAAUUCCCGAACGGAGAGGUAGUGACGAGAAAUAGCGAGGUCGCGGCCUUUUGGCCCGACGAUUGAAAUGAGAACACGCGAACGAUGUUAUCGAGAAUCUAUUGGAGGGCAAGUUCUGGUGCCAGCAGCCGCGGUAAUUCCAGCUCGAAAAGCGUAUGUCAAAGUUGCUGCGGUUAAAACGCUCGUCGUUGGACAUCAGGCGGCGGGCCGUGGACGGCCAAGUGUCGUUACCACGUGCUCGCUCCUAAGAUUAUGCUUGUCUCUUGAGAUGCGCUUCGUUGCGUGUCUCGGUGAGGAGCCACUGUCACUUUGAGAAACCCAGUGUGCUCAACGCAGGCUAACCGCUCGAAUUACGCUGCAUGGGAUGAUGAAAUGGGGUCUCGGCUCCGUUUCGUUGGUUUACGAAAGCAGAGAACAUGAUUAAUCGGGACAGACGGGGGCAUUCGUAUUGCGGUGCUAGAAGUGAAAUUCUGUGACCAUCGCAAGACGAACAAGUGCGAAAGCAUUUGCCAAGAAUGUUUUCGUUAAUCACGAACGAAAGUUAGAGGAUCGAAGACGAUUAGAUACCGUCCUAGUUCUAACGGUAAACUGUGCCGGCCAGGAAUUCGCCAACGCAAUAACUUGGCGAGCGCUUUCCGGGAAACCAAAGCUAUUUGGUUCCGGGGAGAGUAUGGUUGCAAAAUCGAAACUUAAAGGAAUUGACGGAGGGGCACACCAGGAGUGGAGCCUGCGGCUCAAUUUGACUCAACGCACGAAAGCUUACUCGGUCCGAACACUGCGAGGAUUGACAGGCUGAAAGCUCUUUCUUGAUUCAGUGGGUAGCGGUGCAUGGCCGUUCGUAGUCCGUGAAGCGAUUUGUCUGGUUAAUUCCGAUAACGAACGAGACUCGGCCUACUAAUUAAAGUAGCGAUGUGUCGUCGCUACAACGAUUAUUAAAGGGACAGGUGCUUUCUAAGCACACGAAGUUGAGCAAUAACAGGUCUGUGAUGCCCUUCGAAGUUCGAGGCUGCACGCGCGCUACAAUGGCAGCUACAGAGCGCGAAACGCUUCCUGUAACGGAUGCGGAAACGCCAAUGGCUUUCGUGACUGGGAUCAGGGACUGAAACUUUUAUUUGUGAACGAGGAAUUUCUCGUAAGCGCGGGUCAUUACCCCGCGCUGAUUAAGUCCCCGCCCUUUGUACACACCGCCCGUCGCUACUACCGAUGAAUGUUUUGGUGAGGUCUGCCGAGAGGUGUCAUUGGGGUCUCGGCCACAUUGUAUCUUUAUUAAGCCGGUCAAAUUGAGCGU
rnacentral:rRNA from 1 species